UAAAAGGAUACAAAAAAAACCUGAAUAAUUAUUGUGACUGGAAAAGAAAAUUGAAGCCUAACAGACAAGGACCAGAGGAAGACAUCCUUUUUACUAGACUUGCUCUCCUAAUGUCUGAAUUUAUGUUGCCAUUUGCAUGUAUAAUGCAUCUGUAUAUGUAAAGGAAACAGUUAAAAUAGACUACCUCACUGUAGCCCUCUCUCAGUUGGGUAAGGAAGGGUGCCUGGUAACAGAACGUUCAAACAAUGAAGUUAUGAAAUAAAACUUAAAAUUACCAUGGUGAUGCAGCAAAGAGUUGACCUGCAACCCCCACCGUCACCCAGCAGAGAAGCAGAGGGCUGCAGACACCCCCUCCUUCGUCGUCCUGCCCUCCUUCCGCUCGUCCAGCCACCUUCGUACUCGAGAACCCAUGGUACACAGUAGGCUCUCAUUACUUAAGCUCUAUUUGUUUAUUCUCCAGCGCUUUUCCUCGGAGAUUAAAAGAGGCUUUUGAAAGCUCGAGGUCCUCUCUAAGAAGCAGCAGGACAUCAAGUCGGGUCCCUCAGGCCUGCGGGGUCCCGGCGGCACAGCGCCUCCUGCCGGCCAGGGUGGCGAUGGCCGCAGGAACUGGCCGGAGCCCGCGAAGGCGCAGAGAGCACAGGCCGACGGUACCCAAAUAAGAGAGAAUUCUUCUGCUGGAUGGCGUUCAAACUAGGACAUUGACAUUUUCCUGCUUUCUGACUCAAACUGAAACAUUAGCUCGUCCUGAGUGUCAAGGCUGCCUGCCUUCGGACUAGAACUACACCGUCGGCUCUCCUGAGUCUCCAGCUUGUCAACUCACCUGGAGAUCUCGGGACUUGCCAGCCUCCAUAAUUGCAUUAACAAAUUCUUUACAAUAAAUCUCUUUAUAUAUAUUUAGUAUACAUCCUAUUAGUUCUGUUUCUCUGGAAAAACCUGACUAAUGCAGGAUGUAUGUUUAUGAUUGUUGCUGUUGUUGUUGUUGCUUUAAGAUUACCAAGAAAAACAUUUAUUAUAUUGCAG
rnacentral:lncRNA from 1 species